rnacentral:lncRNA from 1 species
CUUCUUCAUUUCUCCGAUCAAAUUCUUGUAGCAAUUAAGGAAUGUUUCAAUCCCCUUAAGCGGGCUAAAGAUCGGCAAUGGAAACUCAGCAUCAGCUAAUGAAUUAGGAAGGCACUGGCGAGGAAGCUAGCUAUGAGAAAAUUAUAUUCCAAUUCACGAUAACUCGCCUUUGUUCCACAAUAUGCUCAAUCAUCUGAAUUAUCAAUUCUUGAUGCCCACAUUCCUUCUUCAAUUUCGUCACUAUUGCUUUCACCCGCUUCUCAGCAUCGCGAAAUUGCUUUUCACAAUUUGGGUAAGGGAAAAUUAACUUGAAUGACAACUUGAUUAUCCUGACCCUUUUUGCGAUUCAUUGGUUAAGGGAAUCUUUCAUUAACAGUCCAUGAUCUUGGGUCUCUCUUCGAAGCGAACAACAUUGCCCCCAAGCGUCCUUAACGAUGAAGCAUUUUAGAAAAGAUUCAUCCUCCAUAUGAUCUGUAAUGUGGCAAGAGAUGCAGGCAUUGGCGACCCUCUCAUAGGAUACCCAAAUUGUUUUCUUUUUCUUUUUCCCUUUUUUUUGUUUUUUUUGUUUCUUUUUUCUUUUUUCUUUUUUUUUGUUUGUUUUUUUUUUUGACACACACUCAACAAUGGAUACCCAUGAGGGGGACAUUAGGAUAAUUGUCGCAACGGCGUGCGAUGCAUGAUAUUUGCUGCCAAGAAAACCCACAAUUUAAAAAUUUCCUCCUCUGAGCUUGCAUAAAGUUGCGCUCAUUCAUCUGCCCCUUUCAUCUUUGGUUUACAUUGCAGUAGUUCACCUAGGGGACAUGUGACAUUCAAAACGUCCUUACUCGUGCGAGAAAUGAAGCAUGCAUACAACAUCGGUAAAUAGCUAACAUCUUCUUUCUCCUUGGCUCACAACAUCGACCGAGGGUCCCAUAAGUUUCAGUUGGGCCAAUAGUGAUUGGAUUCUUAGAGCGAACUUUGUACCUUGCAACUGCAUUCCUAUCGGUGUAGUCAACUAACUCCCUAGCAUUAGGAAAAAGCAUGACACCAUAGUAGACAAGAGCUAGUACAUUCAUGAAUAUUUCCCAAUUUUCCUCCUCAGUUAAUCAGUGCAAAAACCACUAUAAGCAUCCUUGAGUAAGACCCCUUGUUGUAAG